GCUCUAUAUGUUCAAAAAUAUUUAGAGGUUUAUGUUGAUGGUGUUUGGUGUCUCAGUUAACUGCAGAUAAUGACGAAGUUAAUUUAAAUUUCAGUCAGUGAUGCUUUGCGCUAGGUGUUUUUAAGAUUUAAUUCUAUAUAUUAUUCAAGUAUUAUUAAAUUAAUAAUUCACCGGUUCAUAAAAAUUUAUAUAAUACGCAUUUAAUAACCUAAUAUCUAAAAAUGGCCGAUAAAUUCGUUGAGAAUUCAGAGGAAGAUAACUCCGUUACAAUGCUCGAUGUUCUCCAGGAAGAAAGUCAAUUGGAAGAAGAUGCAUAUGCAGUCUUAGGUGCAUCCGAUGAUAGAAAUUGUACUUAUAACAAGGGAUAUAUUAGACAGGCACUAUAUGCCUGCAAAACAUGCAGUUCGCAAAAGAAUAUACGUGCAGGUGUUUGUCUAGCAUGCAGUUUUCAUUGUCACGAAGGACACGAGCUUGUUGAAUUAUAUACUAAAAGAAAUUUUAGAUGUGAUUGUGGAAAUUCUAAAUUUGGAAACAAGGAAUGCAAUUUGGAGAAGUCCAAAAGUACAAUGAAUAUUGAAAAUAUGUAUAAUCAAAAUUUUGAUGGCGUUUAUUGCACUUGUGCAAGACCAUAUCCAGAUCCUGAAAAUGAAAACAAUGAUGAAAUGUUACAAUGUAUAAUAUGUGAAGAUUGGUAUCAUUCUAAGCAUCUUGGGAGCAAAGAUGUACCAGGGGGUGAUUCAUAUGAAGAAGUGAUAUGUGCUGAUUGCAUGAAAAAACAUGACUUUCUUUGGAGAUAUGCUACAAAAUAUUCAACAAUGCAAAAUUCUACUAUAUCAUCUGAAAAGGGGGAAGAAAUAUUGAAUGUUGAAAAUCUUCCAAAUGGUUGUACAAUGCCACAAAAAAGUUUAUCAGGUGUAACAGGUAGCUGUUUUUGGUUAGAAGGAUGGAGAACUUCUCUAUGCAGUUGUGAAUCAUGUAAAAAGAUAUAUAAGGAACAAGAUAUAUUAUAUUUAUUAGAUCCAAAAGAUAGUGUGCAGGCUUAUGAGGAAGCAGGUAAAAUAACUAAGCGAGAAUCACAGUAUGAAAAAGGUAUGAAGGCUCUUGCAUCUUUGGAUCAUGUACAGCAAUUAACUGCAAUUGAAGAAUACAACAAUUUGAAAGAAAGACUAAAGGAGUAUUUACAAAAAUUUGCGGAAAAUAAAAAAGUCGUUCGAGAGGAAGACAUUAAAGAAUUUUUUUCAGAAAUGGAGUCAAAGAAACGUCCGAAAGUUGUAGUCCCAACGUAUUGUCGUUAAAAUGAAACAUUUCUCUUGUAAAGAUUAAAUCAACAAGAUUUUUAACAUUCUAAUUAAACACAAUUUUAUUUUCUUUAUUUUGAAGAGUAUCAUAGAGAUAUUAUCAUAUCAAUAAACGUAGUAUGAUUUUAUCCAUGUGAUUUUUAACCAUACCGAUCGAACAAUGAGGAAGGCAAUAACAAAAUCGCCUAAUAGCUAACAAUAAAAAGAUUAUCCUUUCAAAAUCUGAUAAAAUUUCUAGAUAUAGAUUAAAAAAAAAAAGCAUAAAAAGUGAUAUUUUACAAAUGAAAUAUGCCAUAGGACGAAUGAAGAAAAAGCAAGAUUAAUAAAUAAUGAACAUAGUAUUGGACAUCUUUAUUAAUUAAUUUUCUUAUCAUUCAUUAUUUUGUAGUUUUACAAAUUGAUUUUGAACAUAUGAAACCACUGUUAUUAUGUAAUUCCAAAGGUAAGACUACUAUCGGUUCGUUACAAUUUGGUUUGUCCGUAUAAAUAGACCAUGUUUUUUCAAUACAGUCAAAAAUUCCUGAAAUAAAGCAAAGAAAGAAUAAAGAAAAAUUAUUAAAAAAAUGCGUAAUUAUGAAAGUUAAAUAUCAAAGAAAUUUACCAGUAGCAAUCGUUUUUAUAUAGUCGUCAGGAUUUAUAUCUUGAUAAACUUUAUAUUCAGAAUCCGUUUGAUCGCUAAGAAUGUCUAAUACAUCUUGAAAACAUUUAGGUGGCGGAUGUUUACAAAUUGCUUCCAUUCUAUGUAUACUACUGUCUAUUAUCAAACCUUUUACUUCCGGAAUUUUCAAUCGUAAGUAUCUGAAAUAAAUCUUUAUUGAAUUUAA